rfam:Candidatus Omnitrophica bacterium 4484_213 ex4484_213_scaffold_6048, whole genome shotgun sequence.
GGGGGCGAAAGGAUUCGAUCUAAAUAUGGAGGUGAGAGCGGCAUACUGAGGUUGUCUGGAGGCCUCAUUAAACACCAGGCAAAAUACAAAUGCCAACUACAAUCCAGUAGCAGAAGCAGAAGAAAUUCUUGCUUCUGAGGCAUUAGCUGCUGUCUAAUCAGUAGCGGUCUACUUGACCUGCCUGCGGGUUAAGAUAGAUUAAGGCAGCAGGAUAGCCAACUAUCCUUUCCUGAAGGGUAGAGGGCGAAUUUCUUUUCAGGAUAGCUUCUUUUUUAUCCUGCCUAUUGGAGAGAGGAGAAGCGAAUUCAAAAAAUAGGCUAUGUAUGUAGAUGCUCUUACGGAAGUAUUUAGGGACCGGGGUUCAAAUCCCCGCGCCUCCACCA